rnacentral:rRNA from 1 species
AUGCAAGUCGAGCGGACAGAUGGGAGCUUGCUCCCUGAUGUCAGCGGCGGACGGGUGAGUAACACGUGGGUAACCUGCCUGUAAGACUGGGAUAACUCCGGGAAACCGGGGCUAAUACCGGAUGCUUGAUUGAACCGCAUGGUUCAAUUAUAAAAGGUGGCUUCGGCUACCACUUACAGAUGGACCCGCGGCGCAUUAACUAGUUGGGGAGGGAACGGCUCCCCAAGGGAACGAUGCGUAACCCACCUGAAAGGGUGAUCGGCCACACUGGGACUGAAACCCGGCCCAAACUCCUACGGGAGGCAGCAGUAGGGAAUCUUCCGCAAUGGACCAAAGUCUGACGGAACAACGCCCCGUGAAUGAUGAAAGUUUUCGGAUCCUAAACUCCGUUGGUAAGGAAGAACCAGUACCGUUCCAAUAAGGCGGUACCUUGACGGUACCUAACCAAAAG